rnacentral:rRNA from 1 species
CAGACUCCUACGGGAGGCAGCAGUGGGGAAUAUUGCACAAUGGGCGCAAGCCUGAUGCAGCAACCCCGCGUGAGGGACGACGGCCUUCGGGUUGUAAACCUCUUUUAGCAGGGAAGAAGCGAGAGUGACGGUACCUGCAGAAAAAGCACCGGCUAACUACGUGCCAGCAGCCGCGGUAAUACGUAGGGUGCAAGCGUUGUCCGGAAUUAUUGGGCGUAAAGAGCUCGUAGGCGGUCUGUCGCGUCUGCUGUGAAAACCCGAGGCUCAACCUCGGGCUUGCAGUGGGUACGGGCAGACUAGAGUGCGGUAGGGGAGAUUGGAAUUCCUGGUGUAGCGGUGGAAUGCGCAGAUAUCAGGAGGAACACCGAUGGCGAAGGCAGAUCUCUGGGCCGUAACUGACGCUGAGGAGCGAAAGCGUGGGGAGCAAACAGGCUUAGAUACCCUGGUAGUCCACGCCGUAAACGUUGGGAACUAGAUGUGGGGACCAUUCCACGGUCUCCGUGUCGUAGCUAACGCAUUAAGUUCCCCGCCUGGGGAGUACGGCCGCAAGGCUAAAACUCAAAGGAAUUGACGGGGGCCCGCACAAGCGGCGGAGCAUGCGGAUUAAUUCGAUGCAACGCGAAGAACCUUACCAAGGCUUGACAUAUACGAGAACGCGCUGGAGACAGCGAACUCUUUGGACACUCGUAUACAGGUGGUGCAUGGUUGUCGUCAGCUCGUGUCGUGAGAUGUUGGGUUAAGUCCCGCAACGAGCGCAACCCUCGUCCUAUGUUGCCAGCACGUCAUGGUGGGAACUCAUGGGAUACUGCCGGGGUCAACUCGGAGGAAGGUGGGGAUGAGGUCAAAUCAUCAUGCCCCUUAUGUCUUGGGCUUCACGCAUGCUACAAUGGCCGGUACAAUGGGCUGCGAUACCGCAAGGUGGAGCGAAUCCCAAAAAGCCGGUCUCAGUUCGGAUUGAGGUCUGCAACUCGACCUCAUGAAGUCGGAGUCGCUAGUAAUCGCAGAUCAGCAACGCUGCGGUGAAUACGUUCCCGGGCCUUGUACACACCGCCCGUCAAGUCAUGAAAGUCGGUAACACCCGAAGCCGGUGGCCUAACCUUUUGGAGGGAGCCGUCGAAGGUGGGAUCGGUGAUUAGGACUAAGUCGUAUCAACGAGGCCGACGGG